GUCCAAAUAAAAAAUCACACAUGAAAUAAGUCAUGACUUCUAUUUUAAUAUAUAAGAUAGUUUUAAAAGAUUUUUUAUUUCAAAAUAUAAAUAGUUUUGAUAUUUCAAUUUAAUUUUUUUAUUUAUUGAAUAUUGUAUGACCAAUUCAACUAUGUAACUUUUUUAUAAUUGUUGAAUUGAUAUAUAGAUGAUUUUUUUUUUUUUUGUAACACUAUAUAUAGAUGAUAUAUUUCGUAAUUUUAUCUAAAACUAUUUAUAUUUGAAACAAAGAAAAAAAUAAUUGACCAUUUGGGUCGAGAAGUUGAGAGAAGUAAGACAAUUGUUACAGCAAACACAGCAAGCUCAAGUUCAAGUUGGGUUGGUUUGGUAGAUGGAUGGCCAACAGCGGUAAGUUUCGAACCCUGUUUACACGUCCCAUACGGCAUGUUCUCCUGAACACACGCACACAUACACACAAACAUUUUAAACAUACAAAAUCCAUUUAGUCACUAUGUACCAUUAGAAUACUAACCUUAAAAUCGGCUAUAUCGUCACAGCCACAAAAUGAAUGACCGUUUGCAACAUCUACUGCUUUUGGAACUCCUCC
rnacentral:lncRNA from 1 species